UCAUUUAGCUGAUGCUAUUAUCCAAAAGGGCAGGGCCUUUGUGAGACAUGUCAUUGGUGAGCAGAUGGGAAUCACCAUAUGACCGUUGUGUAUGCUGAGCUAAAUUCCCAGUCCACCGAAAGGAACAAGGGUUCAGUGGAGCACCUCGACCCCUCGCUCUCCUACGAGGUGGAGAUACGGUGCAGCCCAAUCGACUUCUGCCCAAAGUGCUCCUGGAGUCCCCCCUACCUCUUCCCACCAGAACUAACCGUCCCGCCGGUGAUUCUGAACGUGGAAGACAGCGAUUUUGCAGGACAAAAUGGCCACCGUCUUCUCCUUAUAAGUUGGAAUUAUCCCUCCAGAGAGCUGGUGAAAGGCUACAGCGUGAAGGUGGAGAAGGCCUCUGGAGAGGGUCCCAGCGAUCGUAUCCCCACGGACCAAAUGGAGUUGAGGCUGAUUGUGUCUUACUCCGCCUACCAGCUGCAGAUCACCGCCUCUAACAACUUCAGCACAUCCCCCGCAGCCCACCGGACCGUACCUGCACGCAGAUACAGGGACGGUGCAGGCGGGAGGCUGAACGUCACGUUCCACAGUAACAUGUCCCUCUCUCUGUCCUGGAGCGACUCGGUGGCUCUGAAACCAAUCGUCUGCUACUCCGUCGAACUGAGUGGGCAUAAAAACAGUAUUACGUGUUUUACCUAAACAACGCAUCCCACCAAUUGAUAAGUUUAAAGG
ensembl:lncRNA